CAGAUGAUCUCCCUUCAGAGGUUUGACUACAAGAAGAAUAACGCACUCAGUGACCCAGCAGUGGUGUGUAUUUCUGUAACACUUCCCUUGUUGACGUUACUGGAAAGGACUCAUUUUAAGCAACACAAAAGCAACUUCACUCCAGAGGGCCAAAGACUUCAUGCAAGCAAAUUCCAGCAAUCUCACAAUCCAGCUGUUGGGAGACUCACCUCUACUUGGAACCCAAGUAUAAACGCUUUCACAAAAUCAGCUGCUUUCGUUAGGGCACUGAGAUCCUUUGUCUCUUGGCAAGUCUGCAAGACAAGAAGUUACAUUUGCAAAUUAAUACCACGCAAACAGGAUCAGGACUUGAAACAUCUAAGAGGCGAAGGCUAAUCAUUAAAAAGCCACGUUUAGGCAA